GACGAACGCUGGCGGCGUGCCUAAUACAUGCCAGUUGAGCGCUGAAGGUUGGUACUUGUACCGACUGGAUGAGCAGCGAACGGGUGAGUAACGCGUGGGGAAUCUGCCUUUGAGCGGGGGACAACAUUUGGAAACGAAUGCUAAUACCGCAUAAAAACUUUAAACACAAGUUUUAAGUUUGAAAGAUGCAAUUGCAUCACUCAAAGAUGAUCCCGCGUUGUAUUAGCUAGUUGGUGAGGUAAAGGCUCACCAAGGCGAUGAUACAUAGCCGACCUGAGAGGGUGAUCGGCCACAGUGGGACUGAGACACGGCCCAAACUCCUACGGGAGGCAGCAGUAGGGAAUCUUCGGCAAUGGACGAAAGUCUGACCGAGCAACGCCGCGUGAGUGAAGAAGGUUUUCGGAUCGUAAAACUCUGUUGGUAGAGAAGAACGUUGGUGAGAGUGGAAAGCUCAUCAAGUGACGGUAACUACCCAGAAAGGGACGGCUAACUACGUG
rnacentral:rRNA from 1 species